rnacentral:rRNA from 1 species
AGCGAACGCUGGCGGCAGGCCUAACACAUGCGAGUCGAACGAACUCUUCGGAGUUAGUGGCGGACGGGUGAGUAACACGUGGGAACGUGCCUUUAGGUUCGGAAUAACUCAGGGAAACUUGAGCUAAUACCGAAUGUGCCCUUCGGGGGAAAGAUUUAUCGCCUUUAGAGCGGCCCGCGUCUGAUUAGCUUGUUGGUGAGGCAAUGGCUCACCAAGGCGACGAUCAGUAGCUGGUCUGAGAGGAUGACCAGCCACAUUGGGACUGAGACACGGCCCAAACUCCUACGGGAGGCAGCAGUGGGGAAUCUUGCGCAAUGGGCGAAAGCCUGACGCAGCCAUGCCGCGUGGAUGAUGAAGGUCUUAGGAUUGUAAAAUCCUUUCACCGGUGAAGAUAAUGACUGUAGCCGGAGAAGAAGCCCCGGCUAACUUCGUGCCAGCCGCCGCCGUAAAAC